rnacentral:rRNA from 1 species
UACAGAGGUCCCAAGCGUUGUUCGGAUUCACUGGGCGUAAAGGGUGCGCAGGUGGCAUGGUAAGUUUGGUGUGAAAGCUUCGGGCUUAACCCGGAAAUGGCAUUGAAAACUACUGUGCUGGAGGAUCGGAGGGGGGGGACUGGAAUUCUUGGUGUAGCAGUGAAAUGCGUAGAUAUCAAGAGGAACACCAGUGGCGAAGGCGAGUCCCUGGACGAUACCUGACACUGAGGCACGAAAGCCAAGGGAGCAAACAGG